AAAAAAAAAAAAAAAAAAAAAAUCUUAAAAGGGAUGGAAAUGUCUCUAUGUGAACUAUCAAAACUUGUUUUGUUUGGACAAGAUUGCUACUCCUUUUAGGCAGUUCUGGGGAACACUUAAUAACAUAGGAUAAUUUGACUGAAUUCGAAAGCUAUUCCACCCAGACGACAUCAUUAUCCCCAUGGCUAUGUCCUGAGCAGCUGCUAAGGUUCCAGCUAUCUCUGGCAUCUUUAGACUUCAUCUACUCAUCCCACUACGUGCACAGUAAAAGCAACACUCAAUCAUCCCUCUGCAUCAUAGUGAGACUGGAGGAAUGACCGUCCUUCAGUCACCACAUAUAAGGGGGCGGAAAAAAGAGCAGCUGGUCUCACCCUCCUCUACUCCAAUAAUAGACUCAGUAUCUGGCAGGUGCAGAGACUCCACGCCAAGUCGAGGCUGAGAGUUCAUGGAGAUCAGAUUCUUACUAUGCACAGCUGCUUCCUCCAGCAAACUGCUGCCCAGCAGCGACUCUGUUAAUAAACAACGUGCUGUGAACUAUCUAGAUUCUGCCCUUGCUGCCCACCCACCACCCUCAGAGGAAGGGACUACUCUGUCUCACACAGACCCAGUGAAAAUGUCUAUUUUCCAAAGAUACCCCACUUCUAUGAAUUCCCACUCUUGGGUCUGUGCUUCCAACACACCACUAGGUGGGAACUCCCAGAGUUUUAAAAUGUUAAGCCCUUAGAACACUUGCAAUACAAACAGGCAGAGCUGGAUAUGUUAGGUGAAUUACUUAUAUAGGAAGAAUAGGUUCUGCCCCUAAAACAGAGGAAAGGUAUGUAUGAAGGGCAUAAACUUCACUUCAAAAGAGAUCAGAUUCAAGAUUUUUCAAAGCAAGGGCCCACCUGCCCCUUGGCUGUCACACAGAGAUGCCCUUCUAUCCUUUACCCUCAACCUUUCUUACCUACUCCUUUCCCAAGAAGGGCUUCCUCCCAUCCAAACAAGAAUUCCCUUCUCCAUCCUAACCUAACCUCCUUAGGGAGGGACAAGCUGCCUGCCCCCACCGGCCUGUCCUCUCCUAUCACUUCCUGUAAGAACACUCUCUCACCACCUCCUCCUCCUCCCCUAUAUACCCACUUGCUCACCCAUGUGUCAGAGCACCCUCCUCACACGCCCAUCCCAGGGAGGAUGCCUUUCUCUCACCCGGUUGCUCUCGUUCUCUGCUUCCAGCAGCUCCAAUUCUGGAGUGGUGCUUUCUCAUAUGCACAUUCCGGCUACCACUCUGGGAAAAUGUCUUCCCACAAAUUUGGCACUGAUGGGGCUUCACUCCUGAAAAAAAAACCAAACAGACCAAAGUUGAUACUUCUGAAUUUGGGAGUCCCCAAUCAAUAAAUGGGAGCAAGGCAUCAAAAGGAGAAUAUCAUUGGCACAGAAAUUCAGGUUAAAAUCCAUUCCUGUUUUCUAGAGAGAAGUAAUUCUAGCAGAAGGGAAGCACUUCAGAGAUCACUGUUGCAAAGCGCUGAAAAAAUCAAGUCUUGAGGAGGACUAUCAGGUUCUCAGCCCUGUUUUGUGAAGAUGUGUAAGUUAUUUGCAGUGUCCGGCUAUGUACUCAGGAUAGAUGUGGAAACAUUUGAUCUCUAGUUUGUACCUAGAAUGUACUCUGACCAAAAGAGGGGUAGUGGAUGGGGGCAGAGUCUUGUGCAGUCUGAAAGAUGUUGCCGUCUCUGGCCCACACCAUAAAGAAGAGGCAGGGUUUGGUGUCCAGCCUCUAGUUAGUAGGUAGGUUUGCUGUUUAAAGGCCAGUGUGUAGAGUUUUCACCAGGACAACAGUGUUCAUGGCCCACAGAUGGAAGGUCAGUGGAGAUGUUGUUCAAGGAAAAGAGGUGGAGUUAAGCUUAGGUCCAAAGAAACUAUUAAAAUUACA